UAGCGGCGCACGGGUGAGUAACGCGUGGAUAAUCUGCCUGUAAGACAGGGAUAACGCCGGGAAACCGGUGCUAAUACCGGAUAACCUCUUUGAGUCGCAUGAUUUAAAGAGAAAAGGUGGCCUCUUUACAAUGCUACCACUUACAGAUGAAUCCGCGUCCCAUUAGCCAGUUGGUGGGGUAAAGGCCUACCAAAGCGACGAUGGGUAGCCGGCCUGAGAGGGUGACCGGCCACACUGGAACUGAGAUACGGUCCAGACUCCUACGGGAGGCAGCAGUGGGGAAUCUUCCGCAAUGGGCGAAAGCCUGACGGAGCAACGCCGCGUGAGCGAAGAAGGUUUUCGGAUUGUAAAGCUCUGUGAUAUUGGACGAACGAUUUCCCGUAAAUAAUGGGAAAGAAUGACGGUACCCUCAAAGGAAGCACCGGCUAACUCCGUGCCAGCAGCCGCGGUAAUACGUGAGUUGCAAAGGGUUGUUCGGAUUUAUUGGGCGUAAAGCGCGUGUAGGCGGUUUCUUAAGUCUGAUGUGAAAGCCCCGGGCUCAACCCAGGAAGUGCAUUGGAUACUGGCAGACUUGAAUACGGGAGAGGGUAGUGGAAUUCCUAGUGUAGGAGUGAAAUCCGUAGAUAUUAGGAGGAACACCGGUGGCGAAGGCGGCUACCUGGCCUGUAAUUGACGCUGAGGCACGAAAGCGUGGGGAGCAAAUAGGAUUAGAUACCCUAGUAGUCCACGCCGUAAACGAUGGGUACUAGGUGUUGGAGAACUUCAGUGCUGCAGUUAACGCAAUAAGUAUUCCGCCUGGGGAGUAUGCACGCAAGUGUGAAACUCAAAGGAAUUGACGGGACCCCGCACAAGCGGUGGAUUAUGUUGUUUAAUUCGACGCAACGCGAAGAACCUUACCAAGUCUUGACAUACCGCGCAAGGCCCUGGAGACAGGGAGAUAGUUAUGGCGGAUACAGGUGGUGCAUGGUUGUCGUCAGCUCGUGUCGUGAGAUGUUGGGUUAAGUCCCGCAACGAGCGCAACCCUUGCCUUUAGUUACCAGCAUUCAGUUGGGGACUCUAGAGGGACUGCCGGUGACAAACCGGAGGAAGGUGGGGAUGACGUCAAAUCAUCAUGCCCCUUAUGACUUGGGCUACACACGUACUACAAUGGCGUAUACAGAGAGACGCGAAGUGGCGACAUGGAGCAAAUCUCACAAAGUACGUCUCAGUUCAGAUUGAAGUCUGCAACUCGACUUCAUGAAGGCGAAAUCGUUAGUAAUCGCGCAUCAACAAGCCGCGGUGAAUACGUUCCCGGGCCUUGUACACACCGCCCGUCAAACCAUGAGAGUUGGUAAUACCCGAAGCAGUUGGCCUAACCGCAAGG
rnacentral:rRNA from 1 species